rnacentral:rRNA from 1 species
UCGAGUCUUUGAACGCAAGUUGCGCCCGAGGCCAACCGGCCGAGGGCACGUCUGCCUGGGCGUCAAGCGUCGCGUCGCUCCGUGCCAGCUCCAUCCCCCUCCCACUGGGAGGGUCGGACGAGGCUCGGAUGUGCAGAUUGGCCCGUCGUGCCCGUCGGUGCG